rnacentral:rRNA from 1 species
GUGUCAGCAGCCGCGGUAAUACGGGGGGUGCGAGCGUUGUCCGGAAUCACUGGGCGUAAAGGGCGCGUAGGUGGCGUCGUAAGUUUGUGGUGAAAGCCUGGGGCUCAACCCCAGGUCUGCCGCGAAUACUGCGAGGCUUGAGUACUGUAGAGGCAGGUAGAAUAUCGGGUGUAGCGGUGGAAUGCGUAGAGAUCCGAUAGAAGACCGGUGGCGAAGGCGGCCUGCUGGGCAGUAACUGACACUGAGGCGCGACAGCGUGGGGAGCAAACAGGAUUAGAUACCCUGGUAGUCC